UCUCGAUAGCGUAAAAGUUAAAAUUUGUAUGCAGUUGGAAUGUUUGCCUAAGUUUGCCGCUAGAGGCGCUGUUCCAACUCCAUACAAAUUCGAGUUAACUUUUACGCUAUCGA
rnacentral:pre_miRNA from 9 species